UACGUAGGGUGCGAGCGUUGUCCGGAAUUACUGGGCGUAAAGAGCUCGUAGGUGGUUUGUCGCGUUGUUCGUGAAAACUCACAGCUCAACUGUGGGCGUGCGGGCGAUACGGGCAGACUGGAGUACUGCAGGGGAGACUGGAAUUCCUGGUGUAGCGGUGGAAUGCGCAGAUAUCAGGAGGAACACCGGUGGCGAAGGCGGGUCUCUGGGCAGUAACUGACGCUGAGACACGAAAGCGUGGGUAGCAAACAGG
rnacentral:rRNA from 1 species